rnacentral:misc_RNA from 1 species
GGACGCCGAAGGUGGGGCUGAUGACUGGGGUGAAGUCGUAACAAGGUAGCCGUACCGGAAGGUGCGGCUGGAUCACCUCCUAACAGGGAGACAAUAAAUUGAUUGUGAUGUCUAAGUUAUUUAUUCUUAGGCCGCAAUCCUGUCACCUUAAGGUCGAUCGGUACCUCAGAUUUUUGAAUUAGUUUUAUAAUUGAUUCUUUGAUUUCAGUUCCUAAACUUGUCUAGGUCACACCCAACAAAGGUUUCUCCUGGGCCAUUAGCUCAGGUGGUUAGAGCGCACCCCUGAUAAGGGUGAGGUCCCUGGUUCAAGUCCAGGAUGGCCCAUUCGUUGUUGGGGGUAUAGCUCAGUUGGUAGAGCGCCUGCUUUGCAAGCAGGAUGUCAGCGGUUCGAGUCCGCUUACCUCCACUGAAAACUAUCCUGAUAACUAAAUUUCUGGAGAAAAAAAUUGUAGAUGUGACUUAGAAUUGUCUAUUUGAAAAGAACCUAGCUUCUUGUCAUCUUUUUAUAGUUGAUAAAAUGCUGGGCUCGCAUGGAUUAUUUCCAUGAGAAUUCAGUAGAACCUUGAAAACUGCAUAGAUUAGAAAGAAUAAAGCAUCUCAUGGAUGCAUAGUUCUGUUUUUAUAAUUUAGCCUUAAAACUAAAUUAUUUAAUUCUAGAAUUCAUGUUUAAUUCUUGAGUAAUAGCCGAGCACAAUUGAUUUUGUGAUUGUAUUUAAGGUCAAGCUACAAAGGGCUCA